UGAGGAACAUGACCUUCGGCGGGGGAUAGCCGGCCCAACGGCCGGGUAAUACCGCGUACGACCACAUGGGGACAUCCCUGAGUGGUGAAAGCAGCAAUGCGCCGAUGGAGUGCCUCGCGGCCUAUCAGCUAGUUGGUGAGGUAACGGCUCACCAAGGCAACGACGGGUAGCUGGUCUGAGAGGAUGGCCAGCCACAUUGGGACUGAGACACGGCCCAGACCUUCGUAACCGGGGAGG
rnacentral:rRNA from 1 species